CGGGAGGCAGCAGUGGGGAAUUUUUGACAAUGGGGGCAACCCUGAUCCAGCAAUGCCGCGUGUGUGAAGAAGGCCUUCGGGUUGUAAAGCUCUUUCGGACGGAACGAAAAGGUUAGCGUGAAUAACGCUGAUUAAUGACGGUACCGUAAGAAGAAGCACCGGCUAACUACGUGCCAGCAGCCGCGGUAAUACGUAGGGUGCGAGCGUUAAUCGGAAUUACUGGGCGUAAAGCGUGCGCAGGCGGUUCGCCAAGUCAGGUGUGAAAUCCCCGGGCUUAACCUGGGAAUUGCGCUUGAAACUAGCGGGCUUGAGUGCGGCAGAGGGGGGUGGAAUUCCACGUGUAGCAGUGAAAUGCGUAGAGAUGUGGAGGAACACCGAUGGCGAAGGCAGCCCCCUGGGUCGACACUGACGCUCAUGCACGAAAGCGUGGGGAGCAAACAGGAUUAGAUACCCUGGUAGUCCACGCCCUAAACGAUGUCGACUAGGUGUUGGGGAAGGAGACUUCCUUAGUACCGCAGCUAACGCGUGAAGUUGACCCGCCC
rnacentral:rRNA from 1 species